UGGGGAAUAUUGGACAAUGGGGGCAACCCUGAUCCAGCAAUGCCGCGUGGGUGAUGAAGGCCUUAGGGUUGUAAAGCCCUUUUGGCGGGGACGAUGAUGACGGUACCCGCAGAAGAAGCCCCGGCUAACUUCGUGCCAGCAGCCGCGGUAAUACGAAGGGGGCUAGCGUUGUUCGGAAUUACUGGGCGUAAAGGGCGCGCAGGCGGCAAGGGAAGUUGGGCGUGAAAGCCCCGGGCUCAACCCGGGAACGGCGCUCGAUACUCCCUAAGCUAGAGUUCGGGAGAGGAGGGUGGAAUUCCCAGUGUAGAGGUGAAAUUCGUAGAUAUUGGGAAGAACACCGGUGGCGAAGGCGGCUCUCUGGACCGAUACUGACGCUGAGGCGCGAAAGCGUGGGGAGCAAACAGGAUUAGAUACCCCCGUAGUCC
rnacentral:rRNA from 1 species